CAACUGAGCCACCCAGGUGCCUCUAAAGGUUUCAUCUUGAAGUUGACUAACCAUAAAGGUACUCUUGGUCCUCCUUGUGCAUGACUGAAAAAGCAAUUGUCCAGGAAGAGUUUGGGAUGAAAGUCAGAUCCUGUUUCCCAUAGAGGGAUGCAACAAAGUGGACAAUGCCAAAAAGACAGGUGAUCCUACGAGGGCACUUUCACCUUGCUAGAGCAGAAUCUGUGUCCCUUUGGCAGAGACAGUACCACAAAAGACAAAGGCAGACAAAAUGAGAGCAAAUGAUUGGCCCAAACAGAUGCUAAACUAAACAGUGAGUAAGAAAAGCGUUCUUUAAUGAUUAUUUAUUUAAUAAAUUGUACCUAG